rnacentral:rRNA from 1 species
UCAAAAACAUGCUUUUUAUAUUAAUUUAAAGUCUAAUCUGCCCACUGAUAAAUAUUAUUAAAGGGCUGCAGUAUAUUGACUGUACAAAGGUAGCAUAAUCAUUAGUCUUUUAAUUGAAGACUUGUAUGAAAGAUUUGAUGAAAUAUAAACUGUCUCUAAUUUAUAAAUAGAAAUUAAUUUUUUAAUUAAAAAGUUAAAAUAUUAUUAAAAGACGAGAAGACCCUAUAGAGUUUUAUAAUUUAUUUAUUUAAUUAUAAAAUAUAUAUUUAAAUUUAAUAAAUAAAUAAAUUAUUAUAUUGGGGUGAUAAAAAAAUUUAAUAAACUUUUUUUAAUUAAAUAACAUAAAUAAAUGAAAAAAUGAUCCAUUAUUAAUGAUUAGAAGAAAAAAUUACCUUAGGGAUAACAGCGUAAUGUUUUUUUUUAGUACAAAUAAAAAAAAAAGUUUGCGACCUCGAUGUUGGAUUAAGAUAAAAUUUAAAUGCAAAAGUUUAAAAGUUUUGAUCUGUUCGAUCAUUAAAAUCUUACAUGAUCUGAGCU